GGAUGUGAGGGCGAUCUGGCUGCGACAUCUGUCACCCCAUUGAUCGCUAGGGUUGAUUUGACUGAUCUGGCUAGCUCUGCGGGUGUCCCCUUCCUCCCUGGCCACUCCAUGUGCGUCCCUCUCUGAAUAGAGGAGGACCGGUCUUCAGUCAAGGGUCUACAAGCAGCUCCUGCUAGAACCUCCAAACCAGCUCUCAAGGCCCUCGCUUUUUAAUUAAACAGGAAGAGCACAGCUGCUCAAAGGACCCUAAUGUCGUCCUCCAGG
rnacentral:snRNA from 1 species